CUCCGAGAAUUGAAUAGAUUUACUUGAAUAUUUACAAAUCGCCAAACAAAGUAUGUACACAAGCUCUAUGCCAAUUGUAUUCGUCAGAAGUAUGUCAUUUUCAAAAUGGUUCAUAUAAGAGAGUCGUGAGGUUCAAGGCGACAUCACUGUCUUUCCAAACACAAUUAGUUUCAGAGGCCUAACAUAUUGACUAUUAUUGAAAUAUGGAAAAGUUAAGGCUGUUUUUACUUAGGAUAAUUCUAACCUCGAUUUUAAUAACUGUCAUAACAGGCAGAAAUAGUGAGGCCUACAGAAUUUCGCCGCAAACUUCUUCACACCAGCCACAAACCCCACAACGACGAAAUUGGCCAGAUGCAUACACCAAUAUGCCCCCAUAUUUAGUGCUAAACAGAAAAACCGGGACCUAUUUCCCUUAUUAUACAUUUCCAAAUAAAAACAGUUUGAGAAAAAAAUCUGGUUGACUUAAGAAGACAAUGAAAUGGACUGUAAUUUGUUUGUACUUAUUUUAAUUAUUGAUUAAAAAGAGCAGUACGAUUGAAA